AUAUAUUAUAUAUGUAGUAUGUGUGGUGGAAAAGAGAAGAAGAAAAGAAGAUAUAUCAGAAAGAAGAAAAGAAAGGAAAGAAAAGAAAGAAAGGGAAGAGGAGAAAAAGAGGAAAAGAGGAAAAGAAGGAGGAGAAAGAGGAAGAAGAGGAGAAGAAGAAAACUCAUGGGAGAAGAAGAGGAAGGAAACCAUGGAAGCACCAUCAUCAUCUCAUCUUCAGC
rnacentral:lncRNA from 1 species